GAUCUUGUUAGGUCCGCGCCUCCCGAAA
rnacentral:sRNA from 1 species